rnacentral:piRNA from 1 species
UAUGUAGAUUACUUGAAUCAGACAGUGC